rnacentral:lncRNA from 1 species
GACUCGUCUAUUACAGCCCUUGACGUUAUAAAAUUAGCACAAAAAUACUCUUAAUCACUUAAAUCGUCCAUCAUAUCCAAUAUCAUCACACAUGGCCUGGCUUUUUGAUAAUAUAGAUGCCACGUGGCAAUGCCACUUGAAUGUCCAAACCCCAUUUUACCUCCUCCUGCCACUUCUUCCUCUCCAUAGUUGCAUAAACCCUUAAGGAUCUAUAACAAAAUUAAAAUUCCAGAAAAUAAAUUACCUAAACAUGAAUAACCCAAAAAUGGAGGGAUUAAUUCCAUUUGUGUACAAAGCAAUAAUAGGUAACAAAAAUACUAAACAAGGCGGAAUGACUAAUGAAUCGCCGUUGGGUUCUUACCGUGAGACUUCCUGGCGAUUCGGGUCGGUUCGAGAUGUCGGAUAUACAUCUAUUAGGAUCUCCCGAUAAGUCUUCAGCUUCUUC